rnacentral:rRNA from 2 species
UGGUGGGUAGUUUGACUGGGGCGGUCUCCUCCUAAAGAGUAACGGAGGAGCACGAAGGUUGGCUAAUCCUGGUCGGACAUCAGGAGGUUAGUGCAAUGGCAUAAGCCAGCUUGACUGCGAGCGUGACGGCGCGAGCAGGUGCGAAAGCAGGUCAUAGUGAUCCGGUGGUUCUGAAUGGAAGGGCCAUCGCUCAACGGAUAAAAGGUACUCCGGGGAUAACAGGCUGAUACCGCCCAAGAGUUCAUAUCGACGGCGGUGUUUGGCACCUCGAUGUCGGCUCAUCACAUCCUGGGGCUGAAGUAGGUCCCAAGGGUAUGGCUGUUCGCCAUUUAAAGUGGUACGCGAGCUGGGUUUAGAACGUCGUGAGAC